AUGGCAGGGAGGAGGCACCUGGCUGUCCCCCCUGCCCUCAACAGGCACUUGAGCACAGACACUCAGAUGCACUGGCACGUGGGACCUGGCAGGCAGCGUGGUGACCCUACUGGUCCUACUCACCGAGAAGCUACAGGCACCCCCGGACCCUGGGCCAUCCGCAGGUCAGUCCUGGCCUCUCCGUGGGCUCCCCCAACGAGAUGCAGAGAUGAUGGAUCCUCUGGAGACUGGCCCCUCUGGCCUGAGCUCUAGAUGGGCGAAUCCACCCACUCUUUCAGGAUGGGGUACCUAAUCCAAGUCCCCCCCACCCCAUGCUGGGUGCUCACACCUUCCAGCCUGGGCUACUCUGGGGGCACUCUGGGGCCAGAGUCACACUCGGCAUCUGAUCCCCCCACACCCUCCAGCAGCUCCCCUUCACUCCUCUCCUGACUACACCCAGCUCGAGACAGGGAUCCAAAUAAUGGAACAGAGCCAGCACUCAGGAAAUACCUGUUGGAUGGAUGGAUGGGUGGAUGGGUGGAUGGGUGGAUGGAUGGAUGGAUGGGUGGAUGAAUGGAUGGUUGUAUGGGUGGAUGGAUGGUUGGAUGGAGCCCCUGGCAAAAGGGCUCCGGGGUAACUAAAGAGAAGAGAACCUGUCCCUGCACUAGCACUGCAGAGACUUCACAGAUGGGAGGGCUGGGAGGGCAAUGCUAGGGGCUGCCAUUUAAGUGCCUGGCACCCCUUUUUUCAUUAUUAGACAAAUCAUCUCCUAAUGAAUGAAAGGAGCAACACACUCAGAGUUAAGGAAGUGUUCCCAAAGCUAGAGUGGAGAGAAUGCUGCCAUAUCCAGGGACCACCCCCAGGGCAGCUCCCUCAUGAAGUGGACACAGCAAGAGAUGUCUCUGCCUCUGGAGGGGUAGGGGGUGGGUGUCACAGCCACUGAGGCAGCACUGUUCUCACUGCUGAUUAAGCACAGACCAGCCUGUGAUCAAGAAGAAAACCAUUCCUUGAGGAAAUGCAAUUAAUUGAAAAGCUGAAACCUGCGAAAGCCCAAAGGAGACACACAAUCAAGAAUUCUUGGUC
rnacentral:lncRNA from 1 species